UACGUAGGGUGCGAGCGUUGUCCGGAAUUAUUGGGCGUAAAGAGCUUGUAGGCGGUUUGUCGCGUCUGCCGUGAAAUUUCGAGGCUCAACCUCGAACUUGCGGUGGGUACGGGCAGACUAGAGUGUGGUAGGGGAGACUGGAAUUCCUGGUGUAGCGGUGAAAUGCGCAGAUAUCAGGAGGAACACCGAUGGCGAAGGCAGGUCUCUGGGCCACUACUGACGCUGAGAAGCGAAAGCAUGGGGAGCGAACGGG
rnacentral:rRNA from 1 species